CAGAACUCUGAGCCGGGAGACACCUGCCCAGUUCUGCCCCUCCCUGCCAUGGGCUCCUGCCUCGUCUGCUGUGUGGUUCUUUGCCUCCUGGGAGCAGGCCCAGUGGAUUCUGGAGUCACCCAAACACCGAGACACCUGACUAAAGCAAGAGGACAGCAGGUGACCCUGAGAUGUUUCCCUAUCUCUGGGCACACCAGUGUAUCUUGGUACCAACAGGCCCCGAGUGAAGGUCCUCAGUUCCUCUUUGAGUUUUAUGGAAAAAUGCAAAGAGCCAAAGGAAACUUCCCAGAUCGAUUUUCAGGUCAGCAGUUCGACAACUAUAGCUCUGAGCUGAUCGUGAACUUCCUGGAGGUGACGGACUCGGCCCUGUAUCUCUGCGCCAGCAGCUUGGCACAGCCCUGCCGAGUCAUCGGCAUUCUGUGCACAAACCUCCCUGUCCCGGAAGCUGACAGAUCUGAGACAGCCUAGGGACCACAGUGGGGGAAAAAA